CCUACGGGUGGCAGCAGUGGGGAAUAUUGGACAAUGGGGGCAACCCUGAUCCAGCCAUGCCGCGUGUGUGAAGAAGGCCCUCGGGUUGUAAAGCACUUUCAGUGAGGAAGAACGCCUGGUGGUUAAUACCCAUCAGGAAAGACAUCACUCACAGAAGAAGCACCGGCUAACUCCGUGCCAGCAGCCGCGGUAAUACGGAGGGUGCGAGCGUUACUCGGAAUUACUGGGCGUAAAGCGCGCGUAGGUGGCUUGAUAAGCCGGUUGUGAAAGCCCCGGGCUCAACCUGGGAACGGCAUCCGGAACUGUCGAGCUAGAGUGCAGGAGAGGAAGGUAGAAUUCCCGGUGUAGCGGUGAAAUGCGUAGAGAUCGGGAGGAAUACCAGUGGCGAAGGCGGCCUUCUGGACUGACACUGACACUGAGGUGCGAAAGCGUGGGUAGCAAACAGGAUUAGAUACCCUAGUAGUC
rnacentral:rRNA from 1 species